rnacentral:rRNA from 1 species
CCGGCGACCGGCGCACGGGUGAGUAACACGUAUGCGACCUGCCCCCGCAGGGGGAUAACCGGGAGAAAUCCCGACUAAUACCGCGUAACGCCGCAGACCUGCAUGGGUCUGCGGCCAAAGGAAGCGAUUCCGGCGGGGGAUGGGCAUGCGGCGCAUUAGCUAGUCGGCGGGGUAACGGCCCACCGAGGCGACGAUGCGUAGGGGUUCUGAGAGGAAGGUCCCCCACACUGGUACUGAGACACGGACCAGACUCCUACGGGAGGCAGCAG